rnacentral:rRNA from 1 species
UACGGGGGGGGUAAGCGUUGUUCGGAAUUACUGGGCGUAAAGGGCUUGUAGGCGGCCAACUAAGUCCGACGUGAAAUCCCCAGGCUUAACCUGGGAACUGCGUCGGAUACUGGAUGGCUUGAAUUCGGGAGAGGGAUGCAGAAUUCCAGGUGUAGCGGUGAAAUGCGUAGAUAUCUGGAGGAACACCAAUAGCGAAGGCAGCUCGCUGGGACGGUACUGACGCUGAGGCGCGAAAGCGUGGGGAGCGAACAGG